rnacentral:rRNA from 1 species
UACGGAGGGAGCUAGCGUUGUUCGGAAUUACUGGGCGUAAAGCGCACGUAGGCGGCUUUGUAAGUUAGAGGUGAAAGCCCGGGGCUCAACUCCGGAACUGCCUUUAAGACUGCAUCGCUUGAAUCCAGGAGAGGUGAGUGGAAUUCCGAGUGUAGAGGUGAAAUUCGUAGAUAUUCGGAAGAACACCAGUGGCGAAGGCGGCUCACUGGAGCUGGUAUUGACGCUGAGGUGCGAAAGCGUGGGGAGCGAACAGG